GCCGAGAAUUCGUUUCCACUUUAUGCGAUUCCCUUUUGCAUUUUCUAUUACCUACCAAUCCCAGCCCGCCCGUUCACCCUGCAGCUCGACUUAAGUGCAUUUUGUGUGUGCUUUUGCAUGCUCUAAAACCCUAGUAGGAAAACAAGUUGUACUUGUUCGGGUUGUUGGUUGACUUCACUCACAAAUUUGCUCAGAUUUCGUGUACGCAACGUUGCACAUUUCGUUGGGGUUGCCCCUCAGCCUGGUAAUCUGGCAACAAAACACAAAUGUUUAUUGAUUUGUUGCUAAAAGUUGAUCUUGCUCACCAUUCUUAUUCGCUGGCAUUUUCUCCAUUUUUGUCGGAGUAAAUUUGAUUUGAUUUUGCAGACGGAAAUCCAAAUGCCACUCAGCUAAAAGUUGCUCUUGGCAGUGCCGAGCAAAAUGUAUUUGCGGUUGGCGUUGGCAAAAACUGCAAGAAAAGCAUAUCCGAAAUAGCAUUGUCAUUGCUGGCUGGCUGCCUGCUGCCGAUGUUUAUCCAACACAGCUUAUCCGUUGUCAUUUCUCUGUGUAUAUUUUGAUUUAAUUUGCAAUGUGCUAACCAAAAUGCAUUUCCUGCUGGGGCGGACGUUCAUUCAAUUUGCCAAAUGUCAUGUGGGUUGGUGGCCAAUCCCCCAGCUGCCAUCGCAAGUGCAUUAGCUGACAGCUGACAGUUGACAGACAAUUCUGAAUUCUGCUACUGCCACUUUCUGGACACUCACAAAUUAGCCCACAUAAUGUCUUCUAUGAGACUAUGACACUCUGAGUGGUUGUGUUUUGCGUUAAUUUAGUGUUGACAUUUAUGGAGAAAUGCACUUUUAACUGCUGCUAAAAUCCAGCACUGAUUGAUGUCUCUGUCUCUUCAUUAACAUUUAGCAUAUCAAAAACUGUUUCUCGAUGAUUUGCUGGCUGCAGCGCCCCAAAAGUUAAAAGUCAGAGGCUCUAUUGUUUUCCCGCUGAUAUUUAGCAGCAGCAUCCCGUUUGGGUGUUUAGCUCCACAGAUGCAAACGCAUAGAUAGCAUGUCUGCAAGUCCACAGCUCGUGGCGAGUGUCCGGGGCAAGAUAAAACACACGGAAUACGAGUGCACUUCGAGGCGGGGUAGUGGCCAGGGAACGAGCUAGCUCUAAAAUUGUAUGACCGAAUGGAGCUAGGAAUUAUAAAUUUAGUGGUAAUAAUUGUACAUAUUUUUUAAAUAUUAAAGUAAGUUCAGCGACCAAUGCUAUAAUUUCUAAACAAUUUUGAUAAUCGCCAAUCAAGUUACAGGCGGAAAAGCAGUGGAAAUUUCUUAGAAAUUCUCGUAGAAAUUAAAACAUUUAUGUCAAAAUGUACAAAAUGUCUUCCGCUCUGUUAUGGAAUGUUUUAAAUUCUUUGGUUUUGUUCACUAAAAAGACUAAAGGAAAGUCUUAGCAACCAUAUAGAGGUUUCAGUUCAUCAGGAGAAAGUGGUUCCACUUUAUGCAUUUCUCUCAUAGAUGUUGCGUGGGGUUCUAAGGGUGCAGAGAGGUGGCAUAUGGGCACACAAAAUGGCCCUAUGUGUAGGCCAAAGAGGUGUGACACUGUGCCUAUGCGCGUAUGCGUAAUGCCAGCGACAGUGCGUAGGUGUGUGUGUCUGUGUGGGGGCUAUGUGGCUGCUUUGCUACUUCGCAGCUUCGCAUCUGUGUAAUUGGGCGUGUAAUUGUGUUUGCCUUUUCACAUUUAGCCAGCCAGGCAAGCUCGCCAGCCCCCAAAAGGUCACUUUUGAUGUGUGUCCUCUGGCGUUGCUGCAUUUCGGGGGGCUCUCCCAAUUAAAAUGCCGCUCAAAAGUUGCGCCCAAUGACCCACAACGAAGAGCAAAAGAGCAAAAAAAGUUUGAGCCGCCAACGUGCCAACGUGUCGUAAAUUAUGAGCAAUUUGGCUCAAAUUUGACAGCUCGACAAUGAGCCAGAAGAGUCCAUAAGAACCGAAUGAUGUCCUUGGCGGGUUCAAGGCCGACACAGAAGCCCUGAUUGACUUGGCCCAGUGCGAAAAGGGGCUUAUUUAUUUUCCAGUAUUCGUGGCAGUGUGUGGCCGCCCAUCCAGAUGCCAGGCACCUGAGAAAGAGACAGAGACAGAGACAGAGGCGUGGGUGGCCGCACAGGUGUUCA
rnacentral:lncRNA from 1 species